GACGAACGCUGGCGGCGUGCCUAAUACAUGCAAGUAGAACGCUGAAGGAGGAGCUUGCUUCUCUGGAUGAGUUGCGAACGGGUGAGUAACGCGUAGGUAACCUGCCUGGUAGUGGGGGAUAACUAUUGGAAACGAUAGCUAAUACCGCAUAAUAGCAGUUGUUGCAUGAUAACUGUUUGAAAGGUGCAAUUGCACCGCUACCAGAUGGACCUGCGUUGUAUUAGCUAGUUGGUGGGGUAACGGCUCACCAAGGCGACGAUACAUAGCCGACCUGAGAGGGUGAUCAGCCACACUGGGACUGAGACACGGCCCAGACUCCUACGGGAGGCAGCAGUAGGGAAUCUUCGGCAAUGGACGGAAGUCUGACCGAGCAACGCCGCGUGAGUGAAGAAGGUUUUCGGAUCGUAAAGCUCUGUUGUAAGAGAAGAACGAGUGUGAGAGUGGAAAGUUCACACUGUGACGGUAUCUUACCAGAAAGGGACGGCUAACUACGUG
rnacentral:rRNA from 1 species